rnacentral:rRNA from 1 species
GCAAGUCGAGGGGCAGCAUUUACUUCGGUAAGAUGGCGACCGGCGAACGGGUGCGUAACGCGUAUGCAACCUACCUUAUACAAAAGGAUAGCCCAUGGAAACGUGGAUUAAUACUUUAUAGUACUAUAAAACUUCCUGGUUUAAUAGUUAAAACUUCGGUGGUAUAAGAUGGGCAUGCGUAGGAUUAGGUAGUUGGUGAGGUAAUAGCUCACCAAGCCGACGAUCCUUAGGGGCCCUGAGAGGGGGAUC